CGAAAGCCUGACGCAGCGACGCCGCGUGGGGAAGAAGGCCUUCGGGUGUAAACCUCUUCAGCAGGGACGAAGCCACUCGGGUGAACAGCCCAGAGGGUGACGGUACCUGCAGAAGAAGCCCCGGCUAACUACGUGCCAGCAGCCGCGGUAAUACGUAGGGGGCAAGCGUUGUCCGGAUUUAUUGGGCGUAAAGAGCGUGUAGGCGGCCAGACAGGUCCGUUGUGAAAACUAGAGGCUCAACCUCUAGACGUCGAUGGAAACCGUUUGGCUAGAGUCCGGAAGAGGAGAAUGGAAUUCCUGGUGUAGCGGUGAAAUGCGCAGAUAUCAGGAAGAACACCCGUGGCUAAGGCGGUUCUCUAGUACGGUACUGACGCUGAGACGCGAAAGCGUGGGGAGCGAAGAGGAUUAGAUACCCUGGUAGUCCACGCCGUAAACGAUGGGUGCUAGGUGUGGGGGGUGUCGACUCCCUCCGUGCCGAAGCUAACGCAUUAAGCACCCCGCCUGGGGAGUACGGCCGCAAGGCUA
rnacentral:rRNA from 1 species